GCUCCGUUGUCCUAGUGGUUAGAGCGUCCGCCUCAGAUGCGGGAGCUCUUGGGUUUGAACCCCGGCCAAAUCA